rnacentral:misc_RNA from 1 species
GAUGAAGAACGUAGCGAAAUGCGAUAAGUAAUGUGAAUUGCAGAAUUCAGUGAAUCAUCGAAUCUUUGAACGCACCUUGCGCUCCUUGGUAUUCCGAGGAGCAUGCCUGUUUGAGUGUCAUUUGUACCUUCAAGCUCUGCUUGGUGUUGGGUGUUUGUCUCGCCUCUGCGUGUAGACUCGCCUUAAAACAAUUGGCAGCCGGCGUAUUGAUUUCGGAGCGCAGUACAUCUCGCGCUUUGCACUCAUAACGACGACGUCCAAAAGUACAUUUUUACACUCUUGACCUCGGAUCAGGUAGGGAUACCCGCUGAACUUAAGCAUAUCAAUAAGCGGAGGA